rnacentral:rRNA from 1 species
CCCUAGAGGAGCCUGUUCCAUAAUCGAUAAACCCCGAUCCACCUCACCCUCUCUUGCUUAGCCUAUAUACCGCCAUCUUCAGCAAACCCUGAUAAAGGUUACAAAGUGAGCACAAACGCCCUACCGCCGCAAAAACGUUAGGUCAAGGUGUAGCCCAUGAGAGGGUAAAAAUGGGCUACAUUUUCUAUAUCAGAAAACUCCACGAAAACUCUUAUGAAAUCUGAGAGUCCAAGGAGGAUUUAGCAGUAAAUUAAGAAUAGAGUGCUUAAUUGAACCAGGCCAUAAAGCGCGCACACACCGCCCGUCACUCCCCUCAAAUAUAUUUAAGGAACAUCUUAACUAAACGCCCUAAUAUUUAUAUAGAGGGGAUAAGUCGUAACAUGGUAAGUGUACUGGAAGGUGCACUUGGAU